GGGCCGCGGAUGCCACGAGGAGCCUGGCCAGUGUGCACCCAGAAGGAAACAGGCACUGAAAGCGGAAGGCCAAACCUCCCCAAUGGGUGUGUCUUUCUCCCCCAGGGCUCAACACCAGAGAGGCCCCAGACCUGUGGUGCCGGGACGGGCUCCAGGACCCCGAGCGCCUGGGGUAUAGAAACCUGGCCAGGGUGGGAGAGGUCUUUGGUGAGCUCUUCACUGAGGAGCAGAAAAGAUCUUUCCUCCAAGCGGGGCUGCUGGCCAUCCACGACCCCCUCCUCCGCGUCAGCCAGGCUGGCCUGGUGCUGACCUAUUCCAUCUUGGGGAAAGCCGGCCAGCUGCUAGAGGGACGAGGGGGACAUUACAGCCAACAUAUCGGUCCAACUAUUUAAUAUCCGGGUCUUGGGCCAGGUGCCCGAAGACCUGCAGGGGCUGUGCUCCGUGGGGCAGCAUUGAAGACCCCCCCCUCUUCGCAUGACCAGCUCCCACCCCCUG